GGAAGCAAGAUGGCGGCCGCCGAGAGGGUUCACAAAGGGUAGGGUGGUGUGGAGCAAGGCAGGGUCCUCGCAGGCAGUGCCAAGAUUGAGCUGGGGGUGGGCAGAGUGGGCGGGGUGCGGACCCAUGGCCCUACGCAUCCUGGGCCAGGUCUCUUGUGGUGCUUCACGCUCUCGACCUGUGAGUGGUGCCUGCUAGAGCUGCCCAGAUCCCUUUUCCCUACCCCUUCUGACCCUGGACCCAGAGUGGUGGUUGCGAUCUGCUACCGUGACGUCAGCCCUCAUUCGUUCGUUCCACAAACUCCACAGCUCUGGUCCAUUAGAGGAAGGAGGUCCCAGAAUAGCUGGGAAAUUACGAGAACAGCCUCACUGCACGAGUUGGUGAAUGCUGUGAUGGCGAUUGUAUGAUGGACGGUGAUGUUGAAACCAGACUGGGGAAUGACCGCCCCAUCCGGAGAGAGACGGGGUCUUGCUCUGUCAUCCAGGCUGGAUUGCAGUGUCAUUGAUCAUAGCUCAAGCGGUCUUCCUGCCUCAGCCUCCCAAAGUGCUGUGAUUACAGGUGUGAGCCACUGCACCUGGCCUCUUCAUAUCUUACAACGAAAAGCACCAAGGAUUCUCUUUUGUUGAAUUUGAGUUGGCAGAGGAUGUUGCAGCAGCUGUCAACAACAUGUUUGGUCAGAUGAAGACUGGGUGGAGAAGUUUGCUGGGAAGAGGAUAAAGAGGAAGGUGGUUGAGACUUCCCAAAGCAGAAAGCCAGGAGCCCAUUUACUGCCUUCUCCAGGAAGCUUUUCUGAAUCCUCCAGUGAGUAAGGGAGAGCCCACUGCUAAAAAAGGCCUAGUCAAAUCCUCAGGUGUACAUGGACAUCAAGAUUGGGAACAAGCCGGCUGGCUGCAUCCAAACCCUCCUGCGUUCCGACGUCGUGCCCAUGACCACAGAGAAUUUUCUCUACAUGUGCACCCAUUUAAAGGACUCGGCUUCAAGGGAAGCAGCUUCCACCGCAUUAUCCCCCAGUUCAUUUGCCAGGGCAGUGAUUUCACAAACCACGGUGGCACCAGGGGUCUGCGCAGGCAUGGCACUAAGUGUCCCAUGGCACAUUUGGCCCUCAUGGAGGCCUCAAAAGGGCAGGACCAGCACCCUCUUCUACGGAGGAAGGAACGGGCACAGCAGAAACAAGGAGAGUCAGCAAUUACCAGCCAGCCAAGGUCCUGGAAGCUGACGUAGAGCUCGUGCCGACGGCAGACCUGCCGGCCGUGGGAGCCGCGGACGUCAUCUGCAGGGACAGAAGGGGCAAGGUCUUUUCUGGGGUUCCUGCUGUGUGCAGCUACUAUGGGGUACCAGGGUGGGGGAUGCCCUGAUGAGCACAUUUGUCAAAUAAAUGAAUGACAGGAAA
ensembl:lncRNA PPIEL peptidylprolyl isomerase E like (pseudogene)